rnacentral:rRNA from 1 species
AAUCAACGCUGGCGGCGUGCCUAACACAUGCAAGUCGAGCGCGAAAGGGGGCAACCCCGAGUAGAGCGGCGAACGGGUGAGUAACGCGUGGGUGAUUUGCCUCCGAGUGGGGAACAACACCGGGAAACUGGUGCUAAUACCGCAUGACAUCCUCGGGUCGUACUGGGGAUCAAAGCUGGGGACCGCAAGGCCUAGCGCUUGGAGAGAAGCCCGCGUCCGAUUAGCUAGUUGGUGGGGAAUGGCCUACCAAGGCGACGAUCGGUAGCCGGCCUGAGAGGGCGGACGGCCACACUGGGACUGAGACACGGCCCAGACUCCUACGGGAGGCAGCAGUAGGGAAUAUUGCGCAAUGGCCGCAAGGCUGACGCAGCAACACCGCGUGGGGAUGAAGGUUUUCGGAUCGUAAACCCCUGUCGAGAGGGAAGAAAGGUCGAAACGCGAA